rnacentral:lncRNA from 1 species
AUUCCGGGAAUUGACAGUUUUGAGCUCCAAAUUUGAACUGGGUUGGGGGCUAUAAAUACCCCACCCAUUCAGCACUGAUAGCAGACAACAUACACCGAAAUCUUGAUCUUGUUCUGUGAUUUUUAGAGCUCAAAAUUGUUGUAAAGGCCAAAAGUUCUUCUCCCUCUUUUCUUCCAAGUUCUGAGCUUUAAAGAGAGGAGAGAAAAUUCUGUAAGGGUUAUCUCCUAAGCCCGUCAAAAG